ACUCAAAUGAAUAGACGGGGGCCCGCACAAGCGGUGGAGCAUGUGGUUCAAUUCGACGCAACGCGCAAAACCUUACCUGGGCUAGAAAGCAUAGGAACCCGGUCGAAAGAUCGGGGUGCCCUUCGGGGAAUCUAUGAUUAGGUGCUGCAUGGCUGUCGUCAGCUCGUGUCGUGAGAUGUUGGGUUAAGUCCCGCAACGAGCGCAACCCUUGCCGUUAGUUGCCAGCAUUAAGUUGGGCACUCUAACGGGACUGCCGACUUUCAAGUCGGAGGAAGGUGGGGAUGACGUCAAGUCCUCAUGGCCCUUACGUCCAGGGCUACACACGUGCUACAAUGGUCGGUACAAAGGGUUGCGAACCCGCGAGGGGGAGCUAAUCUCAAAAAACCGAUCUCAGUACAGAUAAGAGUCUGCAACUCGACUCUUUGAAGUCGGAAUCGCUAGUAAUCGCUGAUCAGCAUGGCAGCGGUGAAUACGUUCCCGGGCCUUGUACACACCGCCCGU
rnacentral:rRNA from 1 species